rnacentral:rRNA from 1 species
UGCGUAGGCGGGUCUUUAAGUCAGGGGUGAAAUCCUGGAGCUCAACUCCAGAACUGCCUUUGAUACUGAGGAUCUUGAGUUCGGGAGAGGUGAGUGGAACUGCGAGUGUAGAGGUGAAAUUCGUAGAUAUUCGCAAGAACACCAGUGGCGAAGGCGGCUCACUAGCCCGAUACUGACGCUGAGGCACGAAAGCGUGGGGGAGCAAACA